GCUCCCGUGGCGGAAUUGGUAUACGCGCAUGUCUUAGGAACAUGUCUCGCAAGAGGUAGAGGUUCGAGUCCUCUCGGGAGCA
rfam:Parcubacteria bacterium GW2011_GWA2_33_14 TR31_C0028, whole genome shotgun sequence.